UACGUAGGGUGCGAGCGUUUAAUCGGAAUUACUGGGCGUAAAGCGCGUGUAGGUGGCUUGUUAAGUCGGGUGUGAAAUCCCUCGGCUCAACCGAGGAAGUGCAUUCGAUACUGGCAAGCUCGAGUACCGGAGAGGGUCGUGGAAUUCCUGGUGUAGAGGUGAAAUUCGUAGAUAUCAGGAGGAACACCGGCGGCGAAGGCGGCGACCUGGACGAGUACUGACACUCAGACGCGAAAGCGUGGGGAGCAAACAGG
rnacentral:rRNA from 1 species